GGAAAGAAUAGGCAGGAAUGUUUUCAGAGCCAGUUCCUCAAUUUCUCCAGGUUCCAAAAAGCUGCAAGACGAUACUCACCUCUUCAGGGUCUCCACAUCCCCUGAAUAUCAUAUUCAGCUGUUGUUCUCAUCACAUCAGACAUACCAGAGAUGCUUUUAAAGUUCUACAAGCAACAUUUUCAUGUUCAAUGUGGAGGUCCAAGAAACUAACUUGGGAAAGGAGAGGGAAAGUUCUCAUUUUCAUAUGCUGGUAAGACAUUCUAGUGCUACCAUGUCAAAAUAUAAGCUUUAAAAUUGUAGACCAGUGGUGGUG
ensembl:lincRNA